UUACUGCAACCUCUAUGGUGGAUUCAAGGAGGGAGACAUUCUUACAAUGAAUAAACCACCAUUUAAUAGAUGACAUAUAAGAUGGGUAUGACUAAAGACAGACAUUGACAGUUACUGACAUGUGUCUAACGUCUGAGUUCCACAUCGUUUUCCUGAAAGCAGAGGGCAAAUAUCCAGAUGAAGAUGGUGAUAAAAGUCAUGGUUGUUUUGGGUUCUGUUAUCAUGAAGGACAGCUCUCAGUCAUGAAGUGUUAAACUCACAGGGUUAUAAAUACUCCCAGAGCACUGAAGCAUGUGCUGCCAAUGCAAACUGUCAUGUAAAUAGUUUUACUGCUAGUACCUACAUUCAUAACUGUUAGCUAUAUAACUACAUACAGAUUAUGCAGAUACAGAAUAUUUUAUCGUGUUAUAAAUAACUUAUACUGUAAAUCAGUGAUCUAAGAGGAACAUGUAAUUAUCUAAGUGUGUCAGUGGAUUAUACUCAUAACCCAGGAUUAUCAGUCCCUAUUAUGUUAUUCCUGUACUUCAGUACUAUCAGUCCCUAUUGUAUUAUAUUAGUAGUUCAGUACUCUCUGUCACUAUUAUGUUAUAUUUGUACUUCAGUACUAUCAGUCCCUAUUGUAUUAUAUUUGUAGUUCAGUAAUGUCUGACUCUAUUGUGUUAUACUCGUACUUCAGUACUAUCAGUCCCUAUUCUGCCCUGCAAAGGCAAAACUCAGUAACAACGAAACUGGUCAAAGAUCUUUGAUCUGUUGUAAUGGCCAAGUAUAUUACCUGAUUAACGUGCUAUUUAGUUUCCUGACACAAUAACAAUAAUAAAACAGUUGACAGUUGGUUAUCAGAAAUUGCUAUCUGUCUAUGCAGAAAAAUACUUUUAUGUCAGAUUUUGAAGAUUUGCCAUUGUUGGGUAUUAUUGUAUUAUACUAGCACUUCAGUAUUCAGGGUGGGACUGAGAGUGCUCUGUGUGUUAAGGUGCCUGCCCACUCUUGUGUGAUGGAGGUUUUUGUAUGGCGACUUAACCAUUAUGAAUCGUUGUGGUGGACUUUUGGAAGCGGAACAAAACUAGUGCUGAAAACUGGUCCCUCUAUCAGACCCACAGUGUCUCUGCUCCCCCCGUCCUCUGAGCAGCUCUUCGGGGGCUCGGCCACACUGGCCUGCCUGCUGAGUGACUACUCCCCUUAGGGGGCGAUGGUGAGCUGGGAGGUGGAUGGGGAGGAGGUGAAGGAUGGGGUCCUGACCUCCACAGAAGAAGAGAAGGACGGCCACUACAGCCGCAGCAGCACCCUGACCCUGAGCAAGGCACGCUGGGAAGAGGGAGAGGUGUACACUUGCAGGGUCGCCCAUGACGACACCAGUGAUUCGGCCGCCUUAGUAACAGAUAUUCCAACAUGUAAUCUAUGACAGAUAAAAUGGACAUUAUACAUUAUGUAGAUAUAUCUAAUGCCUGAACCCAGCAUCAUGUCUUACCCACAGAUCUAACCUUCAGUAACCUCCUCAUCAAAAUAGUUAAUAUAAUGCUAGAUGAUCACAUCAAUAUCUGGUUGUGAAGUCUGGUUGUGAGGUGAAUAUGGGGAUUGUAUCUAGGGGGUGAUGCUGAUGCUGAUGUACCAUCACCUUCUUUUUCUUUACUUCUGUGCACCACUCAGGCUCCCGAGUGGCGCAGUGGCCUAAGACACUCCAUCUCAAUGCAAGAGGUGUCAUUGCAGUACAUGGUUGAAAUCCAGGCUGCAUCUCAUCUGGCCAUGAUUGGUAGUCCCAUCAGGCGGUGCACAAUUGGCCCAAAUUGUCCAGGUUUAGCUGGGGUGAUCUGAAUAAUGCUUUCUAAACAUAUUCAAAGUUGACUUCACUACACCAGUGGUCCAUGUCACUGUCUCUUCUAUGACAGAACCUCAGGUUGUUUUGAUGGGUUAUGAUCAUGUUAUUUCAUCUCAAUAAAUCUUGAAUCUUUGCUAGAAACUCAUUACCUGCCUGGGGGACCUUGCAGAGACUGGGAUAUUUAUUCCGAAAUAAUGUGAGACAUUCUUUCACAUGGAGUCCAUUCAACUUAUUGCCUGAAACGUUAAUUAAAGGUUUGUUUGCCAUUGCAGAAGGGAAGGAAUCUGUAUGUAGUCUGGACCUAUGGGUGUUUUCAGUUCAGAAAUGCUUAUAAGUUCUGUGUCUUUGUACUGGAUCAUCUCCUCCCCUCAUCACCUGCAGUAGGUCCCAGCUGUAUCAGUACUGUCACUGUGCAGUCUGACUGAGGGAGGGUUUUGUACGGCUCUGUAUCACUGUGUGAACAAUCCACUAAUGUGGUAAUUCUGACAGUAGUAAUCUCCUGCAUCUUCAGCCUGGACUGCACUGAUGGUCAGAGUGAAGUCCCUACGAGGUCAAUCUAGAUGAAGUCCCAGACUGAAGUGUUGUAGCAGAGUAAAUAAGGAGUUUAUGAGCUCCUCCAGAUUUCUGUUGGUACCAGGCUACAUAGUUCUACACAUUACUGCUGGUUGUACAGUUCAGAGAGACUGUCUGUCCUGGGAGAACAGUUUCCACUGCAGGAAUCUGGUGUCCCAGCGACCUGUCCUCUGGAUUCUGAAACAUAAAUAUUUAAGAUCUCAGAGAACAUUUGGUUAUGUUGUCUAAAUCUGUCCAAGUCUCAUUUUCUCAUUUUGAGACUAAAUUAAGAUGAAACAAUUAAAUAAUAUACUGAUUUUAGACCAGCAGAAUGUAAAUCAUACCUUGAAUUAAAGACAUCAAUAUCCACACAAAGCUCAUAAUAAAAGUCAUUGUUGAAGUUCUGUUGUUAUGUAGGACAGCUCUCAGUUAUGUGUUAAACUCACAGGGCUAUGAACACUCCCAGAGCAUUGAAGCAUGUGCUGCCAAUGCAAAGUUUCCUAUGUAAAUAUUAUUCCUGGUAAGGACCCACUGUCACGUUCUGACCUUUAUUUCCUUUGUUUUGUAUUUAUUUUAGUAUGGUCAGGGCGUGAGUUGGGUGGGCAGUCUAUGUUUGUUUUUCUAUGUUUUGGGGUAUUUCUAUGUUUCGGCCUAGUAUGGUUCUCAAUCAGAGGCAGGUGUCAUUAGUUGUCUCUGAUUGAGAAUCAUACUUAGGUAGCCUGGGUUUCACUGUGUGUUUGUGGGUGAUUGUUCCUGUCUUUGUGUUUGUACCAGAUAGGGCUGUUUUUGGUUUUCCACGUUUAUUGUUUUUGUUAGUUAUCUCAUGUGUAGUGUCUUUAUAUAUUAAAGAACAUGAAUAACCACCA